rnacentral:rRNA from 1 species
AUUGAACGCUGGCGGCAGGCCUAACACAUGCAAGUCGAACGAGUGGCGGACGGGUGAGUAAUGUCUGGGAAACUGCCUGAUGGAGGGGGAUAACUACUGGAAACGGUAGCUAAUACCGCAUACCAUCGAAUGUGCCAAGAUGGGAUUAGAUAGUAGGUGGGGUAACGGCUCACCUAGGCGACGAUCCCUAGCGGGUCUGAGAGGAUGACCAGCGACACGGGGACUGAGACACGGUCCAGGCUCCUACGGGAGGCAGGAGUGGGGAAGAUGGCACAAUGGGCGCAAGCCUGAUGCAGCCAUGCCGCGUGUAUGAAGAAGGCCUUCGGGUUGUAAAGUACUUUCAGCGGGGAGGCGUUACCCGCAGAAGAAGCACCGGCUAACUCCGUGCCAGCAGCCGCGGUAAUAC